GACGUUUGUUAGUUAUAUUGAACCGAAAUAAACAUCAGUUAGUUAAAAUUUAUCUGAUUUUAGGUGAAGAUUAAUUUCAUAUCAAGGUGGACAUCAUUCUGUCUUCUAUAUGAAAACCUAACCAUGAUCAAAAAAGGCUGCAUUAUCUCCUGCGUUUCCCUGUGCACCUUAAUAUACUACGCGGACGCCAUUUUUGAUCUACAGCCUGCGUAUUCGAUAACAGAAGCAGACUUUAGUGGUACUGUUAUAUUUAAUGGAACGAAAACUCCAGGAGACACUGUAACAUUCCGAGUGAAAAACCCAAAUGCUACAAAGGACCCAAACGGAUUUGCAAAUAACAUAAACAAUGCUCUUUUGCUAACCAACUACAAUACUGCAUUUAAGCUUGAAAACACAAAACAACUAGAUCUGGAGGAAUUC